rnacentral:rRNA from 1 species
AGUAAAUUGGUUAAGUUAGAAAGGGCGCACGGUGGAUGCCUUGGCACUAGGAGCCGAAGAAGGACGGGACUAACACCGAUAUGCUUUGGGGAGCUGUACGUAAGCGUUGAUCCAGAGAUUUCCGAAUGGGGGAACCCACUAUCUUUAGUCGGAUAGUAUCCUUACGUGAAUACAUAGCGUGAGGAAGGCAGACCCAGGGAACUGAAACAUCUAAGUACCUGGAGGAAGAGAAAGAAAAAUCGAUUUCCUGAGUAGCGGCGAGCGAAACGGAAAGAGCCCAAACCAAGAAGCUUGCUUCUUGGGGUUGUAGGACACUCUAUACGGAGUUACAAAAGAAAGUUAUAAAUGAAGCGGUCUGGAAAGGCCCGCCAAAGACGGUAACAGCCCGGUAGUUGAAAUGGCUUUCCCUCCAGAGUGGAUCCUGAGUACGGCGGAACACGUGAAAUUCCGUCGGAAUCCGGGAGGACCAUCUCCCAAGGCUAAAUACUCCCUAGUGACCGAUAGUGAACCAGUACCGUGAGGGAAAGGUGAAAAGCACCC